rnacentral:rRNA from 1 species
GAGGAAUAUUGGUCAAUGGGCGAGAGCCUGAACCAGCCAUCCCGCGUGCAGGAAGAAGGCCCUAUGGGUUGUAAACUGCUUUUGUGCAUGAAGAACACCCCGCUCGUGAGCGGGGCUGACGGUAAUGCGUGAAUAAGCACCGGCUAACUCCGUGCCAGCAGCCGCGGUAAUACGGAGGGUGCAAGCGUUAUCCGGAUUUAUUGGGUUUAAAGGGUGCGUAGGCGGCCUUUUAAGUCAGUGGUGAAAACCUGCGGCUCAACCGUAGGCGUGCCAUUGAAACUGAAGGGCUUGAGUUAUCAUGAGGCAGGCGGAAUGUGUAGUGUAGCGGUGAAAUGCUUAGAUAUUACACAGAACACCGAUUGCGUAGGCAGCUUGCUAAAGGUACACUGACGCUGAUGCACGAAAGCGUGGGGAUCGAAC